GCGUAAGAACCUGCCCUUAGGAGGGGGACAACAGCUGGAAACGGCUGCUAAUACCCCAUAUGCUGAGGAGUAAAACGGUGUAAACCGCCUAGGGAUGGGCUUGCGCCUGAUUAGCUAGUUGGUAAGGUAAAAGCGUACCAAGGCGACGAUCAGUAGCUGGUCUGAGAGGAUAACCAGCCACAUUGGGACUGAGACACGGCCCAGACUCCUACGGGAGGCAGCAGUGAGGAAUUUUCCGCAAUGGGCGCAAGCCUGACGGAGCAAUGCCGCGUGAAGGAAGAAGGCCCGUGGGUUGUAAACUUCUUUUCUUAGAGAAGAAUCCGAGAGGAGGACGGUAUUUGAGGAAUAAGCAUCGGCUAACCCUGUGCCAGCAGCCGCGGUAAUACAGAGGAUGCAAGCGUUA
rnacentral:rRNA from 1 species